UGAGGAAUAUUGGACAAUGGGGGGAACCCUGAUCCAGCCAUGCCGCGUGUGUGAAGAAGGCCUUAUGGUUGUAAAGCACUUUAAGCGAGGAGGAGGCUACUUUAGUUAAUACCUAGAGAUAGUGGACGUUACUCGCAGAAUAAGCACCGGCUAACUCUGUGCCAG
rnacentral:rRNA from 1 species